CUCGGCUUUCGCUCACCUCUCAUAUCCGCCUCUCUCGAUAGAAUUGAGAUCCCCUUUCCAUAUCCUCCUCCCAAUGUAGUGUUUGCGCUGCUGCCAGCUCUCUGAUGUCCAUGCCGAGAUUGCCUCCUUCCUUCUACGCUCCCUUGUCUGUGCGAUGAGACUACCAUUUCCUCCUACAUUCCCUCAUCUGUGCGAUGAGGUUAUCCCCUUCCUCCUACAAUCCCUCAUUUGCGACCAUCGCUAUAGUUAUCAAGAGGAUGUAUUGACUUACUCUAGAUCGCUUACAUCAAGACUCAAGGAGUGCGAGGAAAGGUGCAUACCCCUUUCCGUAUUCGUAAAUCUCGGUCGCUAUUGAUACGCAAGCAUGACGUUAUGGGCUCUAGUAAGGUAUGUUUUUUUUACAUGGAAAAAACUUGUUAAUAUUUGUGUUACUAAUAAUUUCUGACCGGUGUUCUAUGCUUGUACAUAUUGAUUUAUUGUUAUGCACAGAAUCCGAAAUGUUUAUACUUUGUGGUUUAAAUUUUUCACAAACCAUAGCCAUGAAAUUCACAAGAGACUGUCCCAUCGUAUCUUUUCUUGUUUGCACUAAUUCACAAGAGAAACACUUGCGAAUUAACAUGGUUCCCAAAAUUCACAGGAGAAACACUCGCAAACGUGGUUCUCGUAGCAUCUUCACAUGAAUCUCUAUCCUUGAAGCAUCAAAACGAAAACCCCCAAAACCAGAUCACAACCUCGGCACCAAACCGUGAAAAAGCUUGAGAACAAAAGCACACGCAUCACACCUCACAGAUCAUCACACAAGAAACCACACCGCAAACCAUGUCAUCCUCCUCAUCUAAUCACCCCCAACACCUCACUCCACCACCCCACACCAAAAUUCCACGCCACCGAGGCACCGAUCCCAGCAAGAAAAAAAAAGAGAAAAGAGAAAAAGAAACAGCCAAACUCAACCGAACAGAAAAGCCCAGAAAACACACAUCACAAACC
rnacentral:lncRNA from 1 species